GACGAACGCUGGCGGCGUGCUUAACACAUGCAAGUCGAACGGUAAGGCCCUUCGGGGUACACGAGUGGCGAACGGGUGAGUAACACGUGGGUGAUCUGCCCUGCGCUUCGGGAUAAGCCUGGGAAACUGGGUCUAAUACCGGAUAGGACUCCUGGCUUCAUGGUUGGGGGUGGAAAGCUUUUGCGGUGUGGGAGGGGCCCGCGGCCUACCAGCUUGUUGGUGGGGUAAUGGCCUACCAAGGCGACGACGGGUAGCCGGCCUGAGAGGGUGACCGGUCACACUGGGACUGAGAUACGGCCCAGACUCCUACGGGAGGCAGCAGUGGGGAAUAUUGCACAAUGGGCGCAAGCCUGAUGCAGCGACGCCGCGUGAGGGAUGACGGCCUUCGGGUUGUAAACCUCUUUCAGCUAUGACGAAGCGCAAGUGACGGUAGUAGCAGAAGAAGGACCGGCCAACUACGUGCCAGCAGCCGCCGUAA
rnacentral:rRNA from 1 species